AUGGGAUGCACCACAAGUGCCACAACCACAGAGGUUUCGGGAGCCAAACCCCGUUCGAAAGCCGAGGACGCCAACGGAGCGUGGGCCACAGGUACAGGAGAGGGGAAUGGACCCGCGGUGGAGACUAGUCAGAGCGCAGACCAGGCCCCAGAGGACAACCCCGCUUCCGCGGGGCUGCUGCCGGACGACGCUGCUUCUCCACCCGCCUCCAACCACUGCCUGGCACUGUUGGAGAAAGCCGAGCCGGGGGAGACCCCCACCCAGGAGGCCCCAACUGCAGAAGCUUCAGAAGCUCCAACCUCAGAAGAGACUCUUCAGGAAGCGCCAGCUCCUGAGGAGGGGAACUGAAACAUGAUUUUUCGAAAAAAAAACACCAAAAGGAACCGGUAUGGUGCUUGGUUGAAAAGAGUAAACCUCAGAGGAGAUGCUAGUUCUCUGCCUGUCUGUUGCCAAGAGGAAGUUGAGGAUAUUUUAGUGGUGCCUUUUUUCCCUUUUGUUGGUGGUUUGUGGGAAACUUUUCUACUUUUGUAAAUAAGAGAUUAAUUAAUUAAUAUGUCUAAAUUAAUAUAUAAAACAUAUUUGAAUAUUUAUACAAGUACUAGAGGUGUAGCCUUUAUAUACCUGGAUACAAAUGCAUUUUAAGCCUUUAUAGAGGCAUGGCAUACUAAAUGAUGUGACUGUACUGUAAUUAAAGAUUUCAGUCCUGCAUUAAUACUGUUAUUUUAUGGGUUUAAUAUAACAUACAAUCAUGUUGAUUCAUUUCAUUUUAAAAAAUUACAGAAAGCAAAGGUGAAUGUAUCCGCCUUCCACAGCUCCUCACCUUGAGUCGGUCUUAGACACUUUUGUUAGUUCUUUUUAAAAUUGCUCAGUGGGCGGAGUUAGCCUCAAAGCUGGGGGUGGAGUUUCCAUUUUUAAAAAUGCCAAAGAUACGUGAAAAUGUACUUUCUGAUGCUGAAUAAAUGUUUGACUCUUGCUAAAAAAAAAA
rnacentral:lncRNA from 1 species